rnacentral:rRNA from 1 species
AGCAUGUGGUUUAAUUCGAUGCAACGCGAAGAACCUUACCUACUCAUGACAUCCAGCGAAUCCUAUAGAGAUAGAGGAGUGCCUUCGGGAACGCUGAGACAGGUGCUGCAUGGCUGUCGUCAGCUCGUGGUGUGAAAUGUUGGGUUAAGUCCCGCAACGAGCGCAACCCUUAUCCUUUGUUGCCAGCACGUGAUGGUGGGACCUCAAAGGAGACUGCCGGUGCUAAACCGGAGGAAGGUGGGGAUGACGUCAAGUCAUCAUGGCGCUU